UACGAAGGGGGCUAGCGUUUCUCGGAAUGACUGGGAGUAAAGGGCGCGUAGGCGGACUGCACAGUCAGGCGUGAAAUUCCUGGGCUUAACCUGGGGACUGCGUCUGAGACGUGUGAUCUAGAGUGAGGAAGAGGGUCGUGGAAUUUCCAGUGUAGAGGUGAAAUUCGUAGAUAUUGGAAAGAACACCGGUGGCGAAGGCGGCGACCUGGUCCUUGACUGACGCUGAGGCUCGAAAGCGUCGGGAGCAAACAGG
rnacentral:rRNA from 1 species